rnacentral:rRNA from 1 species
CUACGGGGUGCACCAGUGAGGAAUAUUGCACAAUGGGGGGAACCCUGAUGCAGCAACGCCGCGUGGAGGAUGACGCAUUUCGGUGUGUAAACUCCUUUUAUAUGUCAAGAAAAUGACGGUAGCAUAUGAAUAAGCACCGGCUAACUCCGCGCCAGCAGCCACGGUAAUACGGAGGGUGCAAGCGUUACUCGGAAUCACUGGGCGUAAAGGACGCGUAGGCGGGUUGGAAAGUCAGGUGUGAAAUCCUACAGCUUAACUGUAGAACUGCACUUGAAACUUCUAAUCUAGAGUAUGGGAGGGGGAGAUGGAAUUAGUGGUGUAGGGGUAAAAUCCGUAGAUAUCACUAGGAAUACCUAAAGCGAAGGCGAUCUCCUGGAACAUUACUGACGCUAAGGCGUGAAAGCGUGGGGAGCAAACAGGAUUAGAUACCCGCGUAGUC